rnacentral:rRNA from 1 species
UACGUAGGGUGCAAGCGUUGUCCGGAAUUAUUGGGCGUAAAGAGCUCGUAGGCGGUCUGUCGCGUCUGCUGUGAAACUCAGGGCUUAACCCUGAGCUUGCAGUGGGUACGGGCAGACUAGAGUGCGGUAGGGGAGACUGGAAUUCCUGGUGUAGCGGUGAAAUGCGUAGAUAUCGGGAGGAACACCAGUGGCGAAGGCGGCAUCCUGGCCAUGUACUGACGGCUCAGGGGCGGAA